rnacentral:rRNA from 1 species
UUGUGUGUGCGGUGUUGUGGGGCGUUUCUUCUCUCAUCCGCCGAUGAGGGCAGGAGUUAGAAACUGUUGGGUUAGUCGAAGUGGCCUGGGAUGGUCUGUCGUAGAGGGUGAGAGCCCCGUAGACGAAAACUCAACAGCUCCUGUGGAAUGUUUCCCCGAGUAGCAGCGGGCCCGUGGAAUCUGCUGUGAAUCUGCCGGGACCACCCGGUAAGCCUGAAUACUUCCCAGUGACCGAUAGCGGAUUAGUA